CGGCCGGCUCCUCUCCCGCCCGCGCCGCCUCCUCCUCCCCACCAGCGCCUCCCUCUCCUCCUUCCCGCCGCCACCCGGCCUUGGGGAAAGAUUUCGACUGCAUCCAGAGAGGGAAAGAUUUCGAGGGGGAGGAGAAGGGGAGAGCAGAGAAGCUUGGAGGGCGGCGGGCGGCGGCGAUGGACGGCGAGUGGUGGAGGAAGAAGUGGGUGGCGUGGGCGGCGGCGGCGGCGGCGGCCAUCUUCGUGGUGCUGCCCCCUCCCCCUCGCGCCGCCGCCCUCAGAGAAGCACCGCAGCCCACCGCCCCUAGCCGCCCCAUCCCCGUGCCUUCCCGUGCUCGCUCCUCCCCUCCCUUCCCAGCCGCCACUCCCCUCCCCUCCCCGGUCUCUGUUCCGCCGUCAUCGCCAUUGCCACUACUGGCCGUCACCAUCGCCGGGAGGAGGCCGAGCGAAGCGGGCCGCUUGUGCUGGAGACCAAGCCGCCUCUCCCUCCCGCGCGGUCGCGGCUCCCUCCUGCCCCUCGUCGCCGUCCCUGCCCCAACCACCGCACCCUCUCCCUCCCCCUACCGUCGGCCUCUCCCCAGGCGGCGGCCAGAUCUGCCACCGCCACGGUGGGGGCUUCUUAAUCCGCGCCGUCGUCGAGCUGGACGCGGCCGUCAACCUCGUACCACACCGCCGCCGCCAUGGAUGCACCAUAUCAAGGAACUGAUGCUGCUGCUAGCCUUGUAGUUAGUUGGGUGCUUGAUAAUUUCUCCAGGUGGAUGAGCACAAUAUGAAACAUGGACAUCCCUGUUGCAUCCUUCCGAAGCACUAGCCCCUCUCAAGUUUAUAGGAAGUUGCUGAAAUCAAAGAGGAGCAGCAAAAGAUCGAUGAGGCUAUUAAAAUCAUGCAGGAUGUUGUUCAUUGAAGGGGUGCCACUUGGCUGGCAGCAGGAAGUAAGCGAUCAACAUCAUCAAGAUCCGCUUGAAGGACAACACCAUGGAAGAUGCUCAAUGACCAGAUCGUCGUCCUCUCCGAGAGGAGGGGCCAGCUCAAGCAGGUACAACUAGCUCACCACAGCUCGCUCCUCCUCCCUCUUCUCUGUUUCGUGUUCGAUUGUUCAGAAACGUAACUUAUAUGUGGUGGAUGACUAAGCAAGUGGUUGAAUGAGAACUGAAACCUUUCACUUUUAAGGUUUGAGAUUGUUAUGAACUGCGAGUAUUUCAUAAAAAAAAUUCAGUUCAUAUAAAGCAAAAGAAAGGCAUGCAGUAACUUACAUUGACAGUGUGAUUGUUAACCCCUUAUGAUAUUGGAAACCUGAUAAAUAAUACAUUUUAUGACUGAAUGUUUAACGUGGGACUAGGAGACCCCCAGUUCUGUUUGGUACAUGAAUCUUCUUAUAUUUUGUCCAUUCUUUUUUAUUUUGAUCAAGAAGUCAUAUGGUAGUAUUAUUAGUGAUAUUUGUCAUUUACUUUAAGUUUUCAAGCACACAUUUAGUUUAGGUAAAUCUAAACUAAAUCUGUGAGCUUUGUCAUUUUUCAAGCACACAUUUAGUGAUAUUUUUCAUUUAUUGAAGGGGAGCCUUGGCGCAGUGGUAAAGCUGCUGCCUUGUGACCAUGAGGUCAUGGGUUCAAGUCCUGGAAACAGCCUCUUACAGAAAUGUAGGGAAAGGCUGCGUACUAUAGACCCAAAGUGGUCGGACCCUUCCCUGGACCCUGCGCAAGCGGGAGCUACAUGCACCAGGUUGCCCUUUUUUUUUUGAAGUUAUCCAGUUUUCACUGGGAGAAUCUCACAGAUUAGAUAGCACAAACUGUGAGCUUUGAGUAUCAUAUUUCUUUAAGUGGAAUCAUUGUGAUUUGGACUACAGGAAUGGCCGUCACUCCUGCAGUUCAUUUUGUCAACUGGUCGCAUGGUUGAUUAGAAAAAGAUCAUUUGAGGGUCCAUGCGUAUUGUGGUUGUAGUUCUGCGAAUCAAAAUGUUAUUCUUGGUUGCUAGAUUAAUUUGGUUAUUCAGUCGGCUCCCAAUUUCCAGUUUCUAAUUAUAUGAGGAAAUGGUGUUUUAAUGUUAAUUAAUUUGUUCGGUACUUCUGUUUUCUAAUUCUUUGCUUGAUGUGCUUUCAAUUGGGAGCUCUCCACUCGAAAAAUACCUCAACGCCCAGCCACCUCUUCACCACCACACGCCAGUCAGCGCACGAGGCAGCGGAACUGGAUUUGUCUUCGUCCAGGGAAGUGAAGUCGUCUGCUCCUGUGCGGUGCUGGGCCAACGACCUCCGCUUCUCUUCUCCAUGGACAAACUUCAAAAGGCAACAGCAAGCCAUAUCAAGGGAGGGGAUUGAAGUCACCCCACCUCAAAUCCAUGGGCGCCAUCCACAAGAACCGUGGCCAGGACAAGGAGGCGGACAUCUUCGCACUGCUUUUUGGCGGAGGGCGACGCAGAUUUGCGAGCCUUGUGGCGCAGGUUGACCGGCCGGUGCCGCGCGAAUCUGGUUCGACGAGGUCGUUGGCGACCUGCUGCGGUGGCGGGAUAACAGGAUCAGCUCCGGGAUGUCCGGGGCACGCUGCUGCCGCUCGUGCAGCAGAAUGGCGGCCGCAGCGGCGAUGCAAAAGUUCUUCGUUCACUUCCACGUCCCGAAAGACAUCAAGAUAACACACGGAGGCCCAUUCGUCUUUCGGCCAGCAGCCUUCUCGCCAACUAAGGCAUUUCUACUCGGUCCUUUUCUUUUAGCCUGCUGCAGGGACCAAACACUAUACCUUCUUCUUCGGUCUUCAAUCUGUUUUCUUCUUCAAUGAAGCUAACCACGACAUCCUGCACGUACUGCACCGCUCCCAGAGUUUCCACGGUGCGGCGGCUCGAACUGACGCUCUCAGCCACGGCGCGCCUGGAUCAGUCAGGUUGAUCGAGGGACAAUACUGGCAACCGCUCGUCCGUGCUGAUCUUCGACCGAGAUAGAGUUCAGGUUAUCACACCAUAUGAAGUGAAAGCGCCGUUGGGACUGCUCGCGGUGCAUAGAACUUCCAUGGCAGCACGGGCGAUUCCAAGGCCCACUUGAGCUCCUCCUGCUGAUGUCAGACGGUGAGGUUUCUCAACCUCCACUCUAUUAGCCAUGGCGCGAACCCGAUCUAGUAGAUAUGAAGAAGAAGAAGAAGAGGAGGAGAAAGAAGAAGGCGUUUCCACGGAACGCUAGUGUUGGAGAACAUGUGUCUUGUCCCUCCGUGUGAAUGCGAUGGGAGACAAGCGGCCUGAGGGGGUUUUGGUUUGGGUCGGGGGCGUUGGGGGGUUUGAUGACCUGAAAUUAAGAAGGUGAUCGCAGAUGGCAGGCGGCGACGCACAAACCGCCAACCCCUGCCCAACUCCUCCUCUUGAAAAUGAUUCCCCCGGCACGCCGCGGUCCCGUCUCAAGCAUUAAGCGCUAAGCCAUUAAGACGCAUUUAAUCUGGGCAGAUGGAGGGUGACGCCGCGGCCACCACGGGGGGAGCUGGAGCUGGGCAUUCUGCAGGCCCUACUUCUGAGAGCACAGUAUUAAUCUGAUGGCAACCAACCAAUCAUAUGGAAAUUCAGGCGACCACAGAAAUCUACUCCCUCCAUCCUUUAAAAAGUGUACUUCCAACUUUGUUGGAGGGUCAAACUAUCUCAAUGUUUGACUGAGUUUGUGCAAAAAUAUAUCAAUGUUUAUGAAA